GACGAACGCUGGCGGCGUGCCUAAUACAUGCAAGUCGAGCGAGCGGAACCAACAGAUUUACUUCGGUAAUGACGUUGGGAAAGCGAGCGGCGGAUGGGUGAGUAACACGUGGGGAACCUGCCCCUAAGUCUGGGAUACCAUUUGGAAACGGCUGCUAAUACCGCAUAAGCGCACAGUACCGCAUGGUACCGUGUGAAAAACUCCGGUGGUAUGAGAUGGACCCGCGUCUGAUUAGCUAGUUGGUGGGGUAACGGCCUACCAAGGCGACGAUCAGUAGCCGACCUGAGAGGGUGACCGGCCACAUUGGGACUGAGACACGGCCCAA
rnacentral:rRNA from 1 species